UGAGAAAAUCCUGAGAAAAGGAAAGAUUUCUUUUCCGACAACUAAAAAAGAAAUAAACAAGCACAGGAUGAAAAUUGCGACCACUCUCCUUCUCAGCACAGAUGACCUGAGCAACCUCUGUCACUUUUGUGGCGAGAAAAACACGGACACUGAAGACAUCUGGAUUCAGUGUGACGACUGCUUCAGAUGGUAC